rnacentral:rRNA from 1 species
GGCAGGAAGGACAUACCGCGUGAGGGAGACUGCCUAUGGGUUGUAAACCUCUUUUUUCAGGGAGGAAUAAAAUGGACGUGUACCUGAAGAAUAAGCAUCGGCUAACUCCGUGCCAGCAGCCGCGGUAAGACGGAGGAUGCAAGUGUUAUCCGGAAUCACUGGGCGUAAAGCGUCUGUAGGUGGUUUAAUAAGUCAACUGUUAAAUCUUGAGGCUCAACUUCAAAACCGCAGUCGAAACUAUUAGACUAGAGUAUAGUAGAGGUAAAGGGAAUUUCCAGUGGAGCGGUGAAAUGCGUAGAUAUUGGAAAGAACACCGAUGGCGAAAGCACUUUACUGGGCUAUUACUAACACUCAGAGACGAAAGCUAGGGUAGCAAAAGGGAUUAGAUACCCCGUGAAUCAAAG